AGGACUAACGCUGGCGGCGUGCCUAACACAUGCAAGUCGAACGAGAGUAGCAAUACUCUAGUGGCAGACGGGUGAGUAACACGUGGUCAACCUACCUUUAAGUGGGGGAUAACUAGCCGAAAGGUUAGCUAAAUACCGCAUACGAUCUUCGCGUGGCAUCACAUGAAGAUGAAAGGAGCAAUCCGCUGAAAGACGGGACCGCGUCCCAUUAGCCAGUUGGUGGGGUAACGGCCUACCAAAGCAACGAUGGGUAGCUGGCUUGAGAGAGCGACCAGCCACACUGGGACUGAGACACGGCCCAGACUCCUACGGGAGGCAGCAGUGAGGAAUUUUCCGCAAUGGGCGAAAGCCUGACGGAGCGACGCCGCGUGUGGGAUGAAAUAUCUUGGUAUGUAAACUCCUUUCGAUGGGGAAGAUAAUGACGGUACCCAUAGAAGAAGCCCGGCUAACUUCGUGCCAGCAGCGC
rnacentral:rRNA from 1 species